rnacentral:lncRNA from 1 species
CUCCAAAGUUGAUAUCAGAUUUUCGCCCCUGCUCUAGGCUGUAAAUGGCAGUGAAUAAUGUAAUUUGAAUAACGGCGCAAAAGUCCUGUCAUUUGAACAUUUAAUUCAAUUUAUUCCAUAUAGGUCAGUUGUGGGUCUACUCUCAACAGUUUAUAAGGUCUAGAAAGGCAUUGUAGCAGGCCAGUCUGGCUGUAAUUUUACUUCUGAUAUUGAGAUGCGCUGUUUGUUGCAGAUCAUAAUUCUCCCAAGUCGUCCUUUAAUAAUGUGGCUCCCAGCAGGCCCAGUUAUUCAGGAAAGCUUCAUGCGCACCUAGGACCUGCUUCAAUAGUCCGCAACAGUGGACACGUCAUAAUACCCAUAAAAACACGGAAAUGGUCACAAUGGUUUUUCUGCCAUUCCUUUUUCACAUCGUGAAUAUUACAACAAAUUCUAAUAAAUUGUAUGUUUGGUGUAGGCUUACCUUGGCGUGACAUUUUGAUAGCCGUGUAAUUCUCUCUUGGACAAGGUAGGUUUUGUCAAUAUUUUCACCUCAAUUUACUCUAAAAAAAUGUGCAAUGCUAAUUAUUGAUAAAAGUAAAAUAUUUGCGCGGUUAUCAAAACGUAAUGACAGGGUAAACCUACAUGAAACACAGACCUUAUAUACAGUAGUUCUAAAAUCCCAUAUGGAAAAAUGAAUGGUGAAAUAACGAUUGAAACCAUUUUCCGGGUUUUAUGACUCAUACGGUGGUACUCCAUAUAGCCAAGCCUUCAAUAUUGGGGACAAGCCGGCUUUGAUCGUAGUGUAAUGACACAGGCAGAGAGAGUGAGUGGUCGAAGAACCAUCAACCUUCUGGCCCGUAACCCUGUGUGGCAUCAAUUGUGCCACUACAAAAACAUGCUGAAGUGGAAAAGUCGAUAUCCACAUUUAUAAACACAAGUGCCGGGGUCAGCGGAGCUCCCAAGUGACCAGCGACAGGGCCAACAGCCAACUGACUGCCUUCUCUACUCUGACCUCCCUUCGUUAGUAACCCCCUCCCUGGGCUUCUCCUCAGACCUGGGGCUGCUAGGGGGACCUAUUUGUGGUCCGCCACUCGUCUGAGGGGAAGGGGAUAGAGACUGAAGGAACAACAGCUGCUGAUGGGGACAUCACGCUUCCCAUGGAAGAGCAGCAUCCUCCUGAGAGAAGGUGCUGUAAUCUGCAAUAAUCGAAUUCUCAGACAUGCAUGAUAGCCAUAGUAUGUCUCGAAGCCACAUUGUACGUGAGUGAACACAUGACAUUGAACAUAUUGACACAUGACGUCGUGUGAUCUAUAUUGUAUUUACAAAAACAAUCAACAGUGCAAGUCAUAUGAUGAUCUUACAUGGAAAGCUCUUGAAAACGUUCACAGACACACACAAACAGAGAUAUAAAAGCAGUGUUAAAUAGACAAAGUGUUAUUAAAUGUAUUUUGUGUAAAGAGAAUCUUCUGGGGUGCCAGAGGAAUGCAAAGAAUUGUAGGCACUUUUUUCUGACAUGGUAUAGUGAUGCCAUCUAGAGUUGCAAUGUGUAACAUUCACACACAGCAAAGAGCCCAGUGGGUUCACUAGUAGCAAUACAAGGUGACAUCAUCUGUCUGAUAAACAGUCUUGUCUGUUUAAUAAUUUAUUUAAUAAAGUGUUAUUUACUUAAUUGACUUAAUUUUGAGUGAAUCUGGAUUCUGCUUAUUCCACAUAUUCAACUUGGUUCAAAAAAAUCAUACAUGU